UAGUCAUAUGCUUGUGUUAAAGAUUAAGCCAUGCAUGCCUAAGUACAGGUAGCAAAACCGAAACUGCGGAUGGCUCAUUACAACAGUUAUUAUUGAAAUAGUGAAUAUUUGGAAGAGUAAAGGUAAUAGGAUGGUGUUUAAACGAUAUCAUCCUUUAUCUUUGGGAAUUCAAAAGUAAAAUAGAUGGAUAACCCUGCUAAUCGUAGAGCUAAUACAUGAAGUCAAGGCUCGAAGGAAAGUGGGAAGCAGACAGACUGAGGGACGGGGAGGGCGGAGAAGAAAAAGUCAGAACCCCCUUUUGACCACCCUGAUCCAAUCAUGGGGCAAUGAGAUGAAGCCCAUGGUGGGAGAGGAUCACACGCCGCGCCCGGCCGAGUAAGUUGCUGGAGCCCACACACCACAGAGCCGCGUUUGUCAGCAAAGCGAGGAAGGAGAGCAAGCGAGGUGUCAUAUCUCUUUUGGAAAGGAUUCGCAAGAGUCUAAUCUGGAGAGGUGUUGAUAGCUCAGCUUGAUAUUAGGAGACGAAGACAUGAGAAUGCAUCGUGGGGAAUCGGGGGGACACAACCUGGCCACAGAUGACAAUGUCAUGAGGAUAAAAACGGACCGUUGGAUGAGUCAAUAUUGGGGAAGAGAAGUGAAAACAAAAAGCCGUUUGUUGAGAUCUUUUUUGAACUUCUUAUUGAUGUUUUUAUUUGAAGGUAACACUUGAGAUAAAGAUAAGAAAAGGGAAGGAAAAGAAAGAAGGAUUCAAAAUGACAAAAGCCAAUGUGACACGACGGGGAAAUGUGAGUCUCCAAGUGAGAUAGGACAAAGGAGCAAAUUGCAAAAGAAAACAAGUCUGUCAAAGGAUUUGUUGGCAAUACACUAGAGAAAUUUCUGACCUAUCAACUAGAUGGUAGGAUAGGGGCCUACCAUGGUUGUCACGGGUAACGAGGAAUUAGGGUUCGAUUUCGGAGAGUUGGCCUGGGAAACGGCGAACACUUCCAAGGAAGGCAGCAGGCGCGUAAAUUACUCGGUGCCAAUACGGCGAGGUAGUAACGACAAAUACCAAUGCCCGACCUCCUGUAACAGGGAGGGGGCAAUUGGAAUGGGUACAAUGUAAAGAUGUGUGCGAGUAACGAUUGGAGGGAAAGUCUGGUGCCAGCAGCCGCGGUAAUUCCAGCUCCAAGAGUGUAUACUAAAGUUGUUGCGGUUAAAAAGCUCGUAGUCGAUAUUAGGAGUUUUUCUCUUUUUCUUCUUUUUUUUCAAAUAACAUUGGAAAAGAGGAUGAGAGGGGAUUUAAUUAUUAAUUUUUAAUGAUUAAGAUUUUGUCUUUUUUCUUUCUCUUUUUUUUGAAUAUUUUCGAAAGAAGAUAUUGAAAAUGAGAGAGAGAGAAGAGGGUAAAAUCAAACUUCUUAAUGUAUUUGGAUUAGUUAUUACAUGAUUUAAAUAUCAAAAAGUAAUAGUAACAUUGAACUCAAUCAAGUAAAGUUGAAGAGAAUCGAUGGAAACUACCAAAUCAAUUACUUUGAAUAAAAUAAAAUGUUCAAAGCAGGUUAAUAGCCAGAAUAAGAUAGCAUAGGAUAAUAAGAAAACAAAGGAAGUUGUGGCCUCCGUUCAGACAAUAGGACAACAGAGCCUGAGUUGACGGGAAUUGGUUUCUCAGGGAUGCUCAUGAUUGAAUGACAACGAAUCCAUGGUUUCAUAUAAUUGGGAUCAAGUUUUUGGAUGAAGGAUUCAAUUUGAGAACAGAAUGAAAGAUCAUUUGAAAUAUAACAAUGUUGUUUCUAGGGGCUCAAAAACAAUUUCCAAAUAAAAUAAAAAGAGUGAUUAAUAGGAACAGUCGGGGUGGUUUAUAUUUAAUAGCGAGAGGUGAAAUUCUAUGAGCUAUUCAAGAUAAACUAAGGCGAAAGCAUUCCACAAGGAUGAAUUCAUUGAUCAAGAACGAAAGUUGGGGGAUCGAAGACGAUCAGAUACCGCCGUAGUCUCAACAGUAAACGAUGCCGACCAGGGAUUGGAGAAAGUCGUAAAGAGUGGACAUGAGAACAUUUAAUUUAAUUAUGAUGUUUUGAUGUCCAUUUUAAAACAACUUUUAAGAUGGGACUUCUUCAGCACCUCAGAGAGAAAUCAAAGAGUGUUUGGGCUUCGGGGGAAGUAUGGUCGCAAGGCUGAAACUUAAAGGAAUUGACGGAAGGGCACUACCAGGAGUGGAGCCUGCGGCUCAAUUUGACUCAACACGGGGAAACUUACCAGGUCCAGACAGUAGGAGGAUAGACAGAUUGAGAGCUCUUUCUUGAUUUGCUGGGUGGUGGUGCAUGGCCGUUCUUAGUUGGUGGUGUGAAUUGUCUGGUCAAUUCCGAUAACGAACGAGACCUUAACAUGAUAAAUAAGUUCAGUCAAGGCGGGGACCCCAUCUUGGGAUUUAGUAAUAAGUCUCGAGAUGGAGUUUCCACUUGACAGAAGAAAUAAUACUUUUUCGAAAGAAGGAGCAUUAUGUGAACUUCUUAAAGGGACUAUUUGCGUAUAUAUAACCAGCGAAUGGAAGUUUGAGGCAAUAACAGGUCUGUGAUGCCCUUUGAUGUCCUGGGCUGCACGCGCGCUACAAUGAUUGAAACAGAGAGCAAAUUUGGUUGGUCACUCGAAAGGACUUGUUUCUUUUGGAUGGCCCGGCCAAUGACCAGGGUUGAAGAAUACUGGGGAAACUUGAGAAAGUCAAUCAUGAUGGGGAUAGAUCAUUGGAAUUAUUGGUCUUGAACGAGGAAUUCCUCGUAAGCACGAGUCAACAGCUCGUGCUGAAUACGUCCCUGCCCUUUGUACACACCGCCCGUCGCUCCUACCGAUUGGAUGAUCCGGUGAAAAUUGUGGAUCUUCUUCCCCCUUUUCCCCUGAAAGGGGGGAUUGGGAUGAAGAGAAAUUAUUUGAACCUUAUUAUCUAGAGGAAGGAGAAGUCGUAACAAGGUAUCC
rnacentral:rRNA from 1 species